AUGGAGGAGGGCACUGUUAGAGACGUCGAGACUGGCAGUGAGGCUGGAGGAGAGGAUGCCUUGGUGGGGAAUGUGAACAAACUGACAGUGAGCCCACCAGGUUACACAGGAUCUCCACGGAAAGGACAUCUGGUUUUUGAUGCUUGCUUUGAGAGUGGGAACCUUGGCCGUGUUGACUACAUCAGUGAGUUUGAGUUUGACCUCUUCAUCCGGCCUGACACCUGCA